rnacentral:rRNA from 1 species
UGGGGAAUAUUGCACAAUGGGCGAAAGCCUGAUGCAGCGACGCCGCGUGAGGGAUGACGGCCUUCGGGUUGUAAACCUCUUUCAGUAGGGACGAAGCGCAAGUGACGGUACCUGCAGAAGAAGCACCGGCUCACUACGUGCCAGCAGCCGCGGUAAUCCGUAGGGUGCGAGCGUUGUCCGGAAUUACUGGGCGUAAAGAGCUCGUAGGCGGUUUGUCACGUCGUCUGUGAAAUCCUAGGGCUUAACCCUGGACGUGCAGGCGAUACGGGCUGACUUGAGUACUACAGGGGAGACUGGAAUUUCUGGUGUAGCGGUGGAAAGCACAGAUAUCAGGAAGAACACCGAUGGCGAAGGCAGGGAUCUGGGGAGUAACUGACGCUGAGGAGCGAAAGCAUGGGUAGCGAACAGG